CUUUGCUGAAUAGAACUGACUUUUCAGUAAGUAUUACAGAAGAAUUUUAGCCCAUGGAAAGGCACUGCUGGAUACCACUACAUGAAGUCCUCUGCAAGUUACCUUUUUAAUUCCACUUCCAGUGAAUUGCGGAAAAGGCACACACCGUAGUACUAAAGGGCUCUACCAUAGAAGGAACCUAAUUCCAAAAGCUGUGUUGUGCAUUGCCUUGAAGAUCUAUUGAUGUUCUAUUGGCAGGGCAGAAUCUUUUAAAGCAUGGUACUCAGCUGCUCUGUGAAUCCCUGAUUCACACUUGGUCUCCUGAGUUACAGCAGAACAGCUUGAAGGCCGAACUUCCUUGCAACUAACUCCAUCUCCUCUCCAGACUUUCUCUGCGCUUCGUUGCUGCCCUCUGUUUCAGUUUUUAGGCAUGCCCAGGGUGCUGGGUGUGGAAUGCUCCCUGGUGCUGUAUCCAGCUGCCUCCAUGCCUCACAUGCCAUUGCAAAAGAAGCAAAAUGUGCCUUGCUGUUUGGAGCCUUCUGGCCUGUCACAAUUGGUUUGCAUCUCAGGAUUGCUGAGCCUGUGUUGGCAAAGCUCAGAGCCCCUGGAAUGUGACUGUUGUUUCUGCCUUGGCUGUCUGUCUGAAUGCCAGGUGGGAAAUGUUAUUAUGUCUCCUUUUUUGAAGACUGUUUUUAUUGCUAUAUUUUAUUGAUUAUUUUAUACCAUUUAAUGUAAACUGCUUACGAGUUUUUUUUAAUUAAGCGGUAUAUAAAUCUUGUUAAAUAAAA